CGUGAGGCGGAGCUAAUCCCUUAAAGCCAUUCUCAGUUCGGAUUGUAGGCUGAAACUCGCCUACAUGAAGCUGGAGUUACUAGUAAUCGCAGAUCAGAAUGCUGCGGUGAAUGCGUUCCCGGGCCUUGUACACACCGCCCGUCACACCAUGAGAGUUGGGGAUACCCGAAGCCUGUGAGCUAACAGUAAUGAAGCAGCAGUCGAAGGUAGAAUCAAUGAUUGGGGUGAAGUCGUAACAAGGUAUC
rnacentral:rRNA from 1 species